GUCGAGAAUAAUUCACAAUGGACGAAAGUCUGAUGGUGCAACGCCGCGUGGAGGAUGAAGGUCUUCGGAUUGUAAACUCCUGUCAUCGGGGAGUAAGACCUGGCGGUAAAUAGCCGACAGGGUUGAUAGUACCCGAAGAGGAAGGGACGGCUAACUUCGUGCCAGCAGCCGCGGUAAUACGAAGGUCCCAAGCGUUGUUCGGAAUCCCUGGGCGUAACGGGAGCGUAGGCGGCGUGGUAAGUCAGAUGUGAAAUCCCGGGGCUCAACCCCGGAACUGCGUCAGAUACUGGCAUGCUUGAGGGUUGGGGAGGUAGCUGGAAUUCUCGGUGUAGCAGUGAAAUGCGUGGAUAUCGAGAGGAACACUCGUGGCGAAGGCGAGCUACUGGACAACAUCUGACGCUGAGGCUCGAAGGCCAGGGGAGCAAAAGGGAUUAGAAACCCUGGUAGUCC
rnacentral:rRNA from 1 species